rnacentral:misc_RNA from 1 species
ACAAACUUGGUCAUUUAGAGGAAGUAAAAGUCGUAACAAGGUUUCCGUAGGUGAACCUGCGGAAGGAUCAUUAACACGUAUCCACGUAUCAACCCCUCUGUGCUACUGAUGCUGUAAGGUUGGUCUUAGUCUGCGCAGUCUCGCAUAGAUCUCAACGAUGGAAGGCCUUUUACCUCCUCGUGGGUAGUAGGCCUUGAGGUCUGAGCUGUCAGGUGUUUGACGACUGGCCGAUAUUUUCCCAUCGUUAGCCCUUUUCACAACCCAAUUUUUAACCCCUUUGUACUUCUUCUGUACUGAACCAAUUCCUUCGAGUUCUCUUCUCUCUGGAGAAGACGAGCACGAAAGAUAUUACGAAACUAAAGAACAACUCUUAGCAACGGAUAUCUUGGUUCCCGCAUCGAUGAAGAACGCAGC